rnacentral:rRNA from 1 species
CCUACGGGGGCAGCAGUGGGGAAUAUUGGACAAUGGGGGCAACCCUGAUCCAGCCAUGCCGCGUGUGUGAAGAAGGCCCUCGGGUUGUAAAGCACUUUCAGUGAGGAAGAACGCCUGGUGGUUAAUACCCAUCAGGAAAGACAUCACUCACAGAAGAAGCACCGGCUAACUCCGUGCCAGCAGCCGCGGUAAUACGGAGGGUGCGAGCGUUAAUCGGAAUUACUGGGCGUAAAGCGCGCGUAGGUGGCUUGAUAAGCCGGUUGUGAAAGCCCCGGGCUCAACCUGGGAACGGCAUCCGGAACUGUCAAGCUAGAGUGCAGGAGAGGAAGGUAGAAUUCCCGGUGUAGCGGUGAAAUGCGUAGAGAUCGGGAGGAAUACCAGUGGCGAAGGCGGCCUUCUGGACUGACACUGACACUGAGGUGCGAAAGCGUGGGUAGCAAACAGGAUUAGAUACCCGAGUAGUC